UACGAAGGGGGCUAGCGUUGUUCGGAAUUACUGGGCGUAAAGGGCGCGUAGGCGGUCCUGAUCGUCGGAUGUGAAAGGCCUGGGCUCAACCUGGGAACUGCAUCCGAUACGGCGGGACUGGAGUGUGGGAGAGGUUGGUGGAAUUCCCAGUGUAGAGGUGAAAUUCGUAGAUAUUGGGAAGAACACCGGUGGCGAAGGCGGCCAACUGGACCACAACUGACGCUGAGGCGCGAAAGCGUGGGGAGCAAACAGGAUUGAGAAACCCU
rnacentral:rRNA from 1 species